AAGUCGAACGGAAAUCUUUUAGAUUUUAGUGGCGAAAGGGUGAGUAACACGUAAGCAACCUGCCUUUAAGACGAGAAUAACAAUUGGAAACAGUUGCUAAGGCUGGAUAGGAAAUAAAAAGGAAUCUUUUUAUUUUUAAAAGACCCUUUUCGGAAGGUAUGCUUAAAGAGGGGCUUGCGUCACAUUAGUUAGUUGGUAGGGUAAAGGCCUACCAAGACGAUGAUGUGUAGCUGGACUGAGAGGUUGAACAGCCACAUUGGGACUGAGACACGGCCCAAACUCCUACGGGAGGCAGCAGUAGGGAAUUUUCGGCAAUGGAGGAAACUCUGACCGAGCAACGCCGCGUGAACGACGAAGUACUUCGGUAUGUAAAGUUCUUUUAUUGAAGAAGAAACAAUAGUGGAAAAACUAUCUUGACGUUAUUCAAUGAAUAAGCCCCGGCUAACUAUGUGCCAGCAGCCGCGGUAAUACAUAGGGGGCGAGCGUUAUCCGGAAUUAUUGGGCGUAAAGGGUGCGUAGGCGGUUUAAUAAGUCUCUAGUUUAAUUUCAACGCUUAACGUUGUCCUGCUAGAGAAACUGUUUAACUAGAGUGAGAUAGAGGUAAGCGGAAUUCCAUGUGUAGCGGUAAAAUGUGUAAAUAUAUGGAGGAACACCAGAGGCGUAGGCGGCUUACUGGGUCUUUACUGACGCUGAUGCACGAAAGCGUGGGGAGCAAA
rnacentral:rRNA from 1 species